CAAGAGUGUGCUACUUCAACAGGGGUGAAAUCUGCAUAUACCAUGAAUUUUUUGAUUAAAGUACCUUUUAGGUGGUCAAAUGACUAGGAUUAGAUACCCUAUUAGUCCACUCUUAAUUAACCUGGGUAGUAGAAUCGAAACCUAAAGAAUCUGGCGGUUUCUAAACCUACUAGAGGAACCUGCCCCAUAAACGACAAUCCACGAAAAAAUUCACCCGGGCUAGUUAUGCAGCUUAUAUACCGUCGUUUAGAGGACUAAAUAAAUAGAUCCUCUUAAAAGCUUAGGCUAAUAAAUCAGAUCAAGGUGUAGCUCAUGCCCGGGAGAGGGUGGGUUACAAUGAAAAUUCAUACGGAGCUUUUAUUUUAUGAUAGAAAAGAAGGUGGAUUUAGAAGUAAGACUUAAUAUACUGAAAAAGGCUCUCAGAAAUGUACACAUCGCCCGUCGCUCUCUUGUCCGAAGAGAUAAGUCGUAACAAAGUAGGUGGACCGGAAGGUCUAUCUCGAAAGA
rnacentral:rRNA from 1 species